AAGAGAACAUGCCCCUCGGGGCGUAUCUCCCACCCUUUGUUUAUGAUACCUCAGUUGCUUUGGCAGGCCCGCCCUUUUGGCCGCUAGCCUAGGCUGGCCCGUGCCUGCCAGAGGACCCCCAACACUCUUUUUUAACAUGUCAGUCAGAAAACACAUACAAUACUUUA
rnacentral:misc_RNA from 1 species